rnacentral:lncRNA from 10 species
GAAUUUUGCAAGAGACACAAACAUUCAGACAAUAGAAGACACUGUCUUGCCUUCAGGCUAUUUUUAUGAUUCCCACAAAUCCACCACCAACAUUCAGAAAGCCAGAACUUUGGUCCGAUGAUUUCACCGAUUUUGUUAAAAAGUGUUUGGUGAAGAAUCCUGAGCAGAGAGCUACUGCAACACAACUUUUACAGCAUUUAUCCUUUGACUUUUUGCUCCACCAUAAAAUAUGUAAGUACAAGAUCCCUGGACUCCUUGAAGAGAUUAUCACGUUGUAAAUAUCAGUUACAGGAUUAUCUAAAUGAAGAGCUUCAGAGUUUCAAUUUUUUUUGAUAGAAUAAUUCAUCCUUUUAUCAAGAAUGCCAAACCUGUAUCAAUAUUAAGAGACCUGAUCACAGAAGCUAUGGAGAUCAAAGCUAAAAGACAUGAGGAACAGCAACGAGAAUUGGAAGAGGAAGAAGAA